GAGUUUGAUCCUGGCUCAGAACGUACGCUGGCGGCACGCCUAACACAUGCAAGUCGAACGAAGUAGCAAUACUUAGUGGCAGACGGGUGAGUAACAUGUAGGUAUCUGCCCUUUGGCCUGGAAUAACACGAGGAAACUUGUGCUAAUACCGGAUAAGUCUUUACGGAGAAAGCUUUAUGCACCAUUGGAUGAGCCUGCACUUGAUUAGUUUGUUGGUGGGGUAAUGGCCCACCAAGACUGUGAUCAAUAGCUGAUUUGAGAGGAUGAUCAGCCACAUUGGGACUGAGACACGGCCCAAACUCCUACGGGAGGCAGCUGUGGGGAAUCUUGCACAAUGGAGGAAACUCUGAUGCAGCGAUGCCGCGUGAGUGAAGAAGGCCCUUGGGUUGUAAAGCUCUCUCGUCGGGGAAGAAAAUGACUGUACCCGAAUAAGAAGGUCCGGCUAACUUCGUGCCAGCAGCCGCGGUAAUACGAAGGGACCUAGCGUAGUUCGGAAUUACUGGGCUUAAAGAGUUCGUAGGUGGUUGAAAAAGUUAGUGGUGAAAUCCCAGAGCUUAACUCUGGAACUGCCAUUAAAACUUUUCAGCUAGAGUAUGAUAGAGGAAAGCAGAAUUUCUAGUGUAGAGGUGAAAUUCGUAGAUAUUAGAAAGAAUACCAAUUGCGAAGGCAGCUUUCUGGAUCAUUACUGACGCUGAGGAACGAAAGCAUGGGUAGCGAAGAGGAUUAGAUACCCUCGUAGUCCAUGCCGUAAACGAUGUGUGUUAGACGUUGGAAAUUUAUUUUCAGUGUCGCAGGGAAACCGAUAAACACACCGCCUGGGGAGUACGACCGCAAGGUUAAAACUCAAAUGAAUUGACGGGGACCCGCACAAGUAGUGGAGCAUGUGGUUUAAUUCGAAGAUACGCGCAGAACCUUACCAACACUUGACAUGUUCGUCGCGACUCUAAGAGAUUAGAGUUUUCGGUUCGGCCGGACGAAACACAGGUGCUGCAUGGCUGUCGUCAGCUCGUGUCGUGAGAUGUUGGGUUAAGUCCCGCAACGAACGCAACCCUCACUUUUAGUUGCCAUCAUUAAGUCGGGCACUCUGAAAGAACUGCCAGUGAUAAGCUGGAGGAAGGUGGGGAUGACGUCAAGUCCUCAUGGCCCUUACGUGUUGGGCUACACACGUGCUACAAUGGUAUUUACAACAGGAAGCAAGACUGCGAAGUUAAGCAAAUCCCUAAAAAAUACCUCAGUUCGGAUUGCACUCUGCAACUCGAGUGCAUGAAGCUGGAAUUACUAGUAAUCGUGGAUCAGCGUGCCACGGUGAAUGCGUUCCCGGGUCUUGUACACACCGCCCGUC
rnacentral:rRNA from 1 species